rnacentral:rRNA from 1 species
AGCGAACGCUGGCGGCAGGCCUAACACAUGCAAGUCGAACGAAGUCUUCGGACUUAGUGGCGGACGGGUGGGUAACACGUGGGAACGUGCCUUUAGGUUCGGAAUAACUCAGGGAAACUUGUGCUAAUACCGAAUGUGCCCUUCGGGGGAAAGAUUUAUCGCCUUUAGAGCGGCCCGCGUCUGAUUAGCUAGUUGGUGAGGUAAAGGCUCACCAAGGCGACGAUCAGUAGCUGGUCUGAGAGGAUGAUCAGCCACAUUGGGACUGAGACACGGCCCAAACUCCUACGGGAGGCAGCAGUGGGGAAUCUUGCGCAAUGGGCGAAAGCCUGACGCAGCCAUGCCGCGUGAAUGAUGAAGGUCUUAGGAUUGUAAAAUUCUUUCACCGGGGACGAUAAUGACGGUACCCGGAGAAGAAGCCCCGGCUAACGUCGUGCCAGCCGCCGCCGUAAGAC